rnacentral:rRNA from 1 species
GGAAUUGACGGGGCCCGCACAAGCGGAGGAACAUGUGGUUUAAUUCGAUGAUACGCGAGGAACCUUACCUGGGCUUAAAUGUAGAGUGCAUGAGGUAGAAAUACUUCUUUUCUUCGGAACUCUCUGCAAGGUGCUGCAUGGUUGUCGUCAGCUCGUGCCGUGAGGUGUCGGGUUAAGUCCCAUAACGAGCGCAACCCUUAUCGUUAGUUGCCAGCGGGUAAUGCCGGGGACUCUAGCGAAACUGCCGGUGUAAACCGAGAGAAGGUGGGGAUGACGUCAAAUCAGCACGGCCCUUAUGUCCAGGGCUACACACGUGUUACAAUGGCCGGUACAGAGGGCAGCGAUGCCGCGAGGCGAAGCCAAUACCCAAAAAGCCGUCCACAGUUCGGAUUGGAGUCUGCAACUCGACUCCAUGAAGCCGGAAUCGCUAGUAAUCGUGGAUCAGCAUGCCACGGUGAAUACGUUCCCGGGCCUU